rnacentral:ncRNA from 1 species
AAUAAAUUGAAAUUUAGUUUAUGAAUUAAUUAUUUUAUUUAUAUAUAUAUAAUUUUAAAAGGAUACAUAAAUUUUUAAUAAAUUUAAAUAAUGAAUAAUAUAAAAAUUUAAUAAAAAUAAUAAAUUAUUAUUUAGAAAUUAAAUUAAAUAUAGGUUUAUUUUGUGCCAGCAUCAGCGGUUAUACAAAAUAUAUAAAUUAAUUUUAUUAAUUAUUAUUUAAAGAAUAGAGUUAUAACAUGAAAUAUUAUUAUAUGAUUAAAUAAUAAUAAUAUAAGAUUUUAUAAAUUAAUAUUUGAAGAUAAAAAAUUAAUUAUAAUAAACUAGGAUUAGAUACCCUACUAUAGUUAAUAAAAUUUAAUAAUUAGUUAGUAAAAUAUAAUUUAAUUAUUUAUAAUUAUAAAUUAUUUGAAAUUUAAAAAUUAUGACGGUAUUUUAAUCUAUUUAGAGGAACUUGUAAUAUGAUUGAUAAUCCACGAUUGGAUAGAUAAUUUAAAUAAAAUUUUUGUAUGUUCGUUAUAAAAAAUUUUAAUAAUAAUUUAAUUAAAUUUUUAAUAAUAUAAUAAUAUUUUAUUUCAGAUCAAUAUGAAAUUUAAAUUAAAUAUAUGAGUUACAUUUUAUUAUAUAAGUGAAUAAUUAAUUUAAAUAUUAAUUUUAAAAUGGAUUUAAUAAUAAAAUAUACAAAUUAGUAUAUUUGAAUUUAGUUUUAAAAUAUGUACAAAUUGCCCGUCGCUCCUAUUUAGGAUAAGUCGUAACAAAGUAAGUAUACUGGAAAGUGUACUUAGAAGAAA